UUUGUCGGUUUAAUUUAACUUCGGGCUUGUCUCUUCUCGAGUCAAUCCUGACGAGGCGACCGGAAUGGCCUCAUCGUCCUCCUCCGGCGCCGGCCGCGUCGCCGGAACCCUAGCCCUGCGUUCGGGCUCGGCGGUGCCGGCGGCGUCGCUGAUCCCGGGGCUCCCGGACGACGUCGCGGCCGUCAUCCUCUGCUUGCUCACCUUCCCCGACCAGUCCCGCCUCCGCGCCACCUCCCGCGCGUGGCGCUUGCUCCUCUCUGCGGCCUCGCUGCUCCCGCUCCGCCGCAGCCUCCGCCUCCCGCGCCGACACCUCCUCUGCCUCUUCCCCACGGACCCCUCCCUCGCCUCGCCGAUCCUGCUCGACCCCGCCGCCCCCACCGCCUGGUGGCCCCUCCCGCCGCUCCCCUGCUCCCCGCAGCUCUACGGCCUUGCCAACUUCGCCGCCCUAUCCGUCGGCCGCCACCUCUACGUCCUCGGCGGUUCUUGCUUCGACGCCCGCAGCUACCCCCUUGGGCACCCCUCUCCCUCCGCCGCGGCCUACCGGCUCGAUCUCGCCCACUCCCGACACUACUGGGAGCGCCUCCCCGACAUGCAAAUCCCGCGCGGGAGCUUCGCGUGUGCCCCCGCACCCAGCGGUGGCGUGGUCAUCGUCGCCGGUGGCGGUUCCAGACACCCCACGUUUCCCUCCAACGGCAGCCGCACCGACAGCACCGAGUGGUAUGACGCCACAGCUCGCACGUGGCGCGGUGCCGCAUCGAUGCCCCGUCAUCGGGCUGGGUGCGUGGGGUUUGUGGCUCACGGUGCUGGGGACGGCGGUGAGGAUGAGUUCUGGGUGAUGGGUGGCUACGAUGGGUACACCACACUCGGGGGAGUGGUGCCAACUGAUGUGUACUGCCGGAAUGCGGUGGCGCUCGGACUCUGGAGCGGGAAUUGGAGGGAGAUCGGAGACAUGUGGGAGGAAGGGGAGAGGAGGCGUCUCGGACCGGUUGCAACUUUAUCUGCGGACGAUGGAAUGAUUACCGAGGUGUUCAUGCUUGACGGCAACGAUAUCUUCAGAGACUUACUCUCUUAUGCUCCUGCUAUAUUACGGAGAUCUCAUGGAGAAAUCAUUAUGCCAAGUUCUGUUACACUCCUUUUAAUACAAAUGGCUAAGAGCAUUUGAUGGAAGAAUAUGUGGACUCUGUUGACUGCAUACAAAGUAUAUAUAGGCUUUCGUAGGUUGCUGUCAUCCUAAUGCUUGUCAUGAAAGAUGAUCAAGUGGGUCUGUGUCAUAAAAUUUCAGAUGCUAAUAUUUUGUCAUCCGAAACUAUCUAUUAUUUGCAAUGGCAAGAUAGUUACAACCAAGGAACUUGGAUUUGUCAUCAGCUCACCUGUUAUACUGAAAUACUCUUCAUAGGAUAUCAUAUCUUCUUAUCUGUUUUGCGUUUUGUUCUUACAAGAUACUACUUGUUAAUGCAUUGGCACAUCUACAAAAACGGAAGCCACAUGACAUUCAACCUACAAAGUUUGAUAUAUAUCUAAAAAUGCAAACUUGCUUGAUUAUAACUCAGUCACUUCUGUUUAAAACUUCAAAUACCAGAAGUCAAAUUGUACUAGGUAUCUAGUUUGGAAUCCUAGCACAAUUUUUAGGAUGGUUUCAUUAUUCUAUUUACUGAAUUGCAGUAAAAUUAUGUUGUUGCCCUGCUUUCAUGCAUCAUUUCAGUUCAUUUGAUUGGAGAGGAUGACAACCCUAGGGGAUAGUGAACUUUAAAAAAAUCAUAUAUCUGAAUUCAAAAUAGUUCUGUUAUUUACUUUGUCAAGUGCAAGCCUAACCCAUACACUGAAAAUGGCGUCAUGAUUCACUAAUUUUCACAGUAGUGUGUCAUGAAGCUUUUUUUAUCUAUGAAAUGUAAAGGAUGAAUUCGAUUUUACUACCCCCAAACAAUCCACCUUGUCUGCUUCACACUGGGAGCAAAAUUCUGUCUCCAUUUACUUUCCCAAACUAUUUCAAUUGGCCCAAUACUCCAACUUAACCCCUAAUUAAAUUUUCUUUUUUCUGUUUCUCCACGUAUAAGUUGAGUUAUAAGUUCAAAUUUUGCAGCGUGACAAAGCAGCGAUUUCCCCUAACGUAAUUUUUGGGUGCCAUUGAAUCAUCAAUCACCUCAUCCUUGAUCUGUAUUCGUGAUCCUCUUUUAUAUUUUAGAGAACAACAUGUCUGUUCAGUUGUUUUACCCUUUUUUUGGGCGUUGCUGAUAUAGCUUAAGCUAAGUGCAACGAAUAAAUAGUGUAUCACUUUGUGUGACAAUCAGGUGCAUCAUGACAAGAUCAUUUUUUUCUCUAACGCGCAAGAGAGCUGCGCAUCAAUAUAUUAAGAAGAAAGAGAGGGGUAAUAACCCCGAGUGAUACAGUUAGGGGCCUGUAUCAUGCCCUUACAUAGGACACCUGUAGAAAAAUUACAGAUAUAACAAACAAGGUUGAGACCUGACCAACUAAGAAACAACCUAACCUACCCGAUGUUCCUGGGCGAGGAGGUAUGGCACUCCUCGAGCCCUUGCUAAGGACCACUGGUGCAGUUCCUCUUUACAGUCCGAAACCACACAGGAAACAUCAGGCGUAGCACCGUUGAAGACGCAUCUAUUGCGGUGUUUCCAAAUGGACCAAGCUGCCAUGAUGAUGAUGGAAUUUAAACGUUUUUGGACCUGGCCAUCCACUCUUCAACUGCAGCUGCCCACCAAUCAAAGAAGGAAGGAUCGGUCUGUGGGGCUAAGAUCUGAAGAUUGAAUUGCUGCAAAACAUUGAACCUGACGUGUCAGGAGAAAACACACGUGACCAGCAAGUGAUCAACAGUUUCUUCAACCUGGUCACAAAGAGGGCAAGCCGCCGGGUGGGGAAGACCUUUUCUGGCCAGGCGAUCAGCUGUCCAGCACCAAUUUAGUGCAGCAGUCCACAAAAAGAACUUGCACUUGCCGGGCGCCCAACUCUUCCAUACUCUCCCAAGGACCAAAACCAGAGGCUCCAAUGAAGAAUGCAUUAUAAGCUGAUUUGGUGGUGUACUGCCCCGUAGUCGAGAAUUGCCACACAUGCAUAUCUUCUACUUCUGAAUGCAAAGUAACUUCCAAGAGGAGAUCCCAUAAUGCAAGGUAAUCCACUAGGACAUCCAAAGUAAGCCCUCUAUGUCUGUAAUCCAUCUAGCACCCAUAAUGGCAUCAAAAACAGAUUGUUUCCGUGCUCUGGGAGCUAAAGCGGCAAACAGAUGUGGCAAAAUCUGAUAUAGCCUCUGCCCAUGCAGCCACCUAUCCGACCAGAAGCAAGUAUUUUUUCCAUUUCCAACUUCAGAUAUAACAGCCGCUGAAAAGAAAGCUCUGACCUGCUUCGGGGCAUGAACUGGGAAGAAAUUCCAGACCUUAUCAGGCUCGGUUUUUUUGCAACCAUAGCCACCGUAAAUUGAGAGCCCAACUGAGAUGCUGCAAACUUGAGAUGCCAAGACCACCGAGCUCAACUGGUCUUGCAACCUUGGGCCAGGCAAUGAGGCAAUGACCACCUCUAACCUCCUUUCGACCUUUCCAUAAGAAGCCGUGUCAAGAUUUAUCUAUUGCCUUCAACACCAUAAGAAAAUAGAUUGUCAUGGAGGUGAGAAUCGACUGUACCAGGAUUUUUCGUCCAGCUUUGAUGAGUAAGUCCGCUUUCCAACUUGGAAGUCGAUCAGCAAUCUUAUCAAUCAAAGGCUGGAUCUGAUUUCUUGUCAACUUGUGAGGUGAGAGGGGUACUCCAAGGUACUUACAUGGAAAAUCCGAGAUUCGGCAAGGAAGGUUUUCUUGAUGGAGGAAGAUGACUGCAUCAUCAGCAUAAAGGGAGAUCCGCUGCUGUAGCGCACGAGUAGCCAAAGGUUGCAACAGUUCCUCUUCCGACGCUUUUUUCACUAUAAGACACAAAAUAUCCAUGACAAGAAUAAAGAGCAUCGGAGAUAAGGGAUCGCCUUGCCUUAGACCUCUGCAGUGUGCAAUUUUAUUUCCAGGGGAGCCAUUGAGCAAGACUUGAGUGGAGGAAGAGGCUAGCAGCCCGCUGAUGAUGUCGCACCAAACAGGCCCAAAUCCCAGGUUCUUCAGAACCUCCAACAAAAAAAGGCCAAGAUACUGAAUUGAAGGCCAUAGUGAUGUCUAGCUUCAGAAGAAUACGUGGCUGCUUCUGUUGAUUCAAGAACUUUGUGGUGUAUGAAAUUAUCCAAGAUGAAACGUCCUUUUAUAAAGGCACUUUGAUUUGGGGAGACCAUUUGAUCCAGGUAUGCCUUUGCUACAAACAGGUGGCUGAGAGAGGCUACCACGAGGAGGAGGAUCCCAAACACUGAAUCUUGUGGUUUUGUAUCAAUGAAUGGGGAACUUUACGUGCUCAGAUCUGCAAAAAUUCCUGUUGAAGCC